rnacentral:rRNA from 1 species
AGUGAACGCUGGCGGUAGGCCUAACACAUGCAAGUCGAACGGCAGCACAGUAAGAGUUUGCUCUUACGGGUGGCGAGUGGCGGACGGGUGAGGAAUACAUCGGAAUCUACUUUUUCGUGGGGCAUAACGUAGCGAAACUUACGCUAAUACCGCAUACGACCUACGGGUGAAAGCAGGGGAUCUUCGCACCUGGCGCGAUUGAAUGAGCCGAUGCCGGAUUUGCUAGUUGGCGGGGUAAAGGCCCACGAAGGCGACGAUCCGUAGCUGGUCUGAGAGGAUGAUGACCCACACGGGAACUGAGACAGGCUGCAUGCACAUGAGAGAGGAAGCAGUGUGGAAUAAUGGGCAGUAGGCGCGAGCAUGAACCAGGCAGACCGCGUGGGUGGAAAAGACCUUCGGGUUUUAAAGCCCUUUUGUUGGGUAACAAAAGCUGCAGGUUAAUACGCCGCGGUACUGACGGUACCCAAAGAAUAAGCACCGGCUAACUUCGUG